AUUGAACGCUGGCGGCAAGCCUAACACAUGCAAGUCGAACGAGUGGCGGACGGGUGAGUAAUGUCUGGGAAACUGCCCGAUGGAGGGGGAUAAAUACUGGAAACGGUAGCUAAUACCGCAUACCAUCGGAUGUCCCCAGAUGGGAUUAGCUCGUAGGGGGGGUAACGGCUCACCUAGGCGACGAUCCCUAGCUGGUCUGAGAGGGUGACCAGCCACACUGGAACGGAGACACGGUCCAGACUCCGACGUGAGGCAGCAGGGGGGAAUAUUGCACGAGGGGCGCAAGCCUGAUGCAGCCAUGCCGCGUGUAUGAAGAAGGCCUUCGGGUUGUAAAGUACUUUCAGCGAGGAGGCGUUACUCGCAGAAGAAGCACCGGCUAACUCCGUGCCAGCAGCCGCGGUAAUAC
rnacentral:rRNA from 1 species